rnacentral:rRNA from 1 species
GACGAACGCUGGCGGCGUGCUUAACACAUGCAAGUCGAACGGAAAGGCCCUGCUUUUGUUGGGUGCUCGAGUGGCGAACGGGUGAGUAACACGUGUGUAACCUGCCCUUGACUUUGGGAUAACUUCAGGAAACUGGGGCUAAUACCGCAUAGGAUCUCCUGCUCCAUGGUGGGGGUUGGAAAGUUUCGGCGGUUGGGGCUGGACUCGCGGCUUAUCAGCUUGUUGGUGGGGUAGUGGCUUACCAAGGCUUUGACGGGUAGCCGGCCUGGGAGGGUGACCGGGCACAUUGGGCCUGAGGUACGGCCCAGACGCCUACGGGAGGCAGCAGUGGGGAAUAUUGCACAAUGGGCGGAAGUCUGAGGCAGCAACGCCGCGUGCGGGAUGACGGGCUUCGGGUUGUAAACCGCUUUCGACUGUGACGAAGCGUGAGUGACGGUAAUGGGUAAAGAAGCACCGGCUAACUACGUG